GAUGAACGCUGGCGGCGUGCCUAAUACAUGCAAGUCGAGCGAACAGACGAGGAGCUUGCUCCUCUGACGUUAGCGGCGGACGGGUGAGUAACACGUUGAUAACCUACCUAUAAGACUGGGAUAACUUCGGGAAACCGGAGCUAAUACCGGAUAAUAUAUUGAACCGCAUGGUUCAAUAGUGAAAGACGGUUUUGCUGUCUCUUAUAGAUGGAUCCUCGCCGUAUUAGCUAGUUGGUAAGGUAACGGCUUACCAAUGCAACGAUGCGUAGCCGACCUGAGAGGGUGAUCGGCCACACUGGAACUGAGAAACGGUCCAGACUCCUACGGGAGGCAGCAGUAGGGAAUCUUCCGAAAUGGGCGAAAGCCUGACGGAGCAACGCCGCGUGAGUGAUGAAGGUCUUCGGAUCGAAAAACUCUGUUAUUAGGGAAGAACAAAUGUGUAAGUAACUAUGCACGUCUUGACGGUACCUAAUCAGAAAGACACGGCUAACUACGUG
rnacentral:rRNA from 1 species